rnacentral:rRNA from 1 species
GACGAACGCUGGCGGCGUGCUUAACACAUGCAAGUCGAACGGUAAGGCCCUUCGGGGUACACGAGUGGCGAACGGGUGAGUAACACGUGGGAGAUCUGCCCUGCACUUCGGGAUAAGCCUGAGAAACUGGGUCUAAUACCGGAUAGGACUCCUGGCUUCAUGGUUGGGGGUGGAAAGCUUUUGCGGGGUGGGCUGGGCCCGCGGCCUAUCAGCUGGGUGGUGGGGUAAUGGCCUACCAAGGCGACGACGGGUAGCCGGCCUGAGAGGGUGACCGGUCACACUGGGACUGAGAUACGGCCCAGACUCCUACGGGAGGCAGCAGUGGGGAAUAUUGCACAAUGGGCGCAAGCCUGAUGCAGCGACGCCGCGUGAGGGAUGACGGCCUUCGGGUUGUAAACCUCUUUCAGCUAUGACGAAGCGCAAGUGACGGUAGUAGCAGAAGAAGGACCGGCCAACUACGUGCCAGCAGCCGCCGUAA